UACGUAGGCAGCGAGCGUUGUUCGGAGUUACUGGGCGUAAAGGGUGUGUAGGCGGUCCCUUAAGUUUGGUGUGAAAUCUCCCGGCUCAACUGGGAGGGUGCGCCGGAUACUGAGGGGCUAGAGUGCGGGAGGGGAAAGUGGAAUUCCUGGUGUAGCGGUGAAAUGCGUAGAUAUCGGGAGGAACACCUGUGGCGAAAGCGGCUCACUGGACCACAACUGACGCUGAGGCGCGAAAGCUAGGGGAGCAAACAGG
rnacentral:rRNA from 1 species